UACGUAGGUGUCAAGCGUUGUCCGGAUUUAUUGGGCGUAAAGCGCGCGUAGGCGGCCACUUAAGUCGGAUGUGAAAGCCCCUGGCUCAACUGGGGAAGUGCACCCGAAACUGAAUGGCUUGAGUGCGAAAGAGGGUCGCGGAAUUCCCGGUGUAGAGGUGAAAUUCGUAGAUAUCGGGAGGAACACCGGUGGCGAAGGCGGCGACCUGGGUCGACACUGACGCUGAGGCGCGAAAGCGUGGGGAGCAAACAGG
rnacentral:rRNA from 1 species